UGUUUAUAAAUAAAUAAAAAUUAAUAAAAAAGUUACAUGAGAAAUUAGAUCCCAGCCUUUCUGAACUGGCUGACCUUGGUCAAGUUACAUAACCCCGAGAUUCAUGACCUUUUCAGGUAACCUGAUGAAUGAAAUGAUCCUUCACCCGAGAAAAAAAUGCAUACAUAUGACAGAUUUUGCAUGUUUACUUCAGGAUCCCAACUGCACACCUCUAAAGUUUAGAUCUUUCAUCUGUGGAAGGAGAUGGCCGUGCACAUCUUGGAGGUCUGUCUCAUUAAUUCUCCUGUGGCAGUUAAGUGAGAGAAUGUACGUUAGCAUGACACCUGGCACAUUCUUUCUGAACCGUGAACCUUGGUCUCUCUCCUUCCAUUUCUUUCCCUCUUUGGUUCUCUCUCUUCCAGGCACUGUGCCUUGACCUACAGUACAUUUGCCAAGGGAGAAAAGUUAGUCUCAGUUCACUUUUGGAUCAUUUGUUAGGACAGAGCCCUGCCAGAUUUUCAUUUUAUCUGUCCACAAUGAUUUCUUUGUUCCUUUUUUUCCCCUCUCGCCACUUUGGGCUUCUCAUGGCCGGAAGCAUCGCAUUAUCUUUCUGGUCUGAAGUUUCAGUACACCCGUUUCCUUCCUGUGGGAGGGGUCUCAUGUUGGUUGUGCUUGGGGAAGCCCUGGGUCUGCCUCUCCCACUCAUGGCCGCCCUGGGGUUUUGCAGAAUCUUCAAGGUGGCAUUUCCUCUAUCCUUGAGGGCAAGGGAAGCCGCACUCCAGCUUUCAGGCUUCAAACAAGCAUGUCCUUGGCCCACAGCCACACAGCUCCACAGAGGGCCUUUCCGGCACGUAUCAGGGCCUUCAUCAGUGGUGGAUUUGGGAAGAGCCAGCCCUGAUGGUGGAAGACUUUGUUGUGGGUCGGAGGUAACCCUGAUCACAGUGGUCACCUGCCUCCUUGGCCAGUCAGAGGCAGUGAGAGGCCCCUUCCAUCUCAGCAUCGAAAAGCCUGCCUCUCUCGCUGUUCCUUGUACCCCAUCCUGUAGACUCUGGGUCUUGGCUCCUGCCCUCGGCACAUUGGGUGGGGGCAAGGCCUGAGGUCAUUUUUAACACUCAUUAGAGAGCAGUCAAUGCAGCAGUGCUCACAAAGGUUUGUCACAGCCCAGGUGGCUGACAUGACCCGGAAUGGAGCCACCUUCAAGGGGAAGGCUUAUCUGAAGCACCCAUGGCCUAACUCAGGACCUAGUGUGCUUGUUUGUGAGGUGAGCACCCACCUGGAUUACAGCGAUAGGACCUCAGUGAGAUUCUGCCACAAAUGCCUUCUUCCCCUUGGCCUCUUCGCCUUUUGGCCUGCCUGGUCCAUGGCCCGGUCCUCGGUCUUGUCAUUCGAUUCCAGCCCUGCUUGGAUACAGGUAGUCACCUGAGAAUACCUGGUGGUAGGAGGCCUUCAAGUCAUGGGUUCAUUUUGAGAAUGUAAAAACUUUUAGGUUCUUAUGCUAAUGUUCCAUUUGCUAUUUAAUAUAGUUGAUUAAGGUCGUUCAGCCGGCUUUCACUGGCCUGAGGGUAGGAAAGAAUGCAGAAUCCACUUUUUAAAAUAAUCUGAUAGGCAGGCAGAUGUUGGCCUCACCUGAUGCCUGCUCAGACUCUCCCAGCUGGGAAUACACUGACCGCCCCCCGCCCCCCACCAUCGUCAUUCACAUCCACCAUGAUUCCGGAGACUGUCAUUCUUCAGGGAGCAUCAUCACGGCCCACAAACUGAACACCACUUCCCCUGGGUCCCCGUAGGCUCCAUCUUCAAACUCUAGCUGGAUGUUUCCAAAUAGCUUGCUGCCGUGUGGAUGAUUGAUGGCUUUCAUUCUUGGUAUGGAUGCUGACUUAGGCCACAGGUGUUGGAACUGGGGUUUGGUAGCCCUAAUGUGCACCGUCAGUGUGACUUAGGAGCAAUUGUUGGCCAAGAAGAGAGGGUCAAGGGAACACGGGCCACCUGAGAGGUAAAUGCCUUGCUACCCACACGAUUCGGCACUUCAUUCACAAGUUUAUAGGAAGCUUUCAAAGUUUUAAGUACGUGCCUUUUGAUACGUGACAACCCAUUUCCAAGAUCUAAUGUUUAAACUAUUGGAGUGGCACAGGAAUACUUUGCAUCUUCCUAAGACAGGGGGUAAGCACACCUUCACAACUGCUUACAAGUACGCUGCAUACAAAUACAAUAGGAAUUUGAGUUGCUACUAAAUAAUGAUGUGGUUGUGUCUGUACAUAUGCCUGUAUAUUUUUUAGUGUGUAUUUAAUGCAGCUUCCUCUGUGCCAGGCAUCUUCAGAGCCAUGCAGAUGUGGUGGUGAGCAUGGGGUGACAGACUGAGGGCCUCGCUGGUGCAAGGACCCUGGGGCGGGAGGAAGGCCGGUGUAGCUGGCAUGUCCUGGGGAAGAGGAGGCAGGUAGCACAGUUCACUAGACCUAUCUCUGUCAGCAGGCCCAGGGUUGGGGGUUUGGAUGCUCUGAGAGGAGGAGUGGCCUGACAUGGUUGGAUUCACCUGUGGGAAGCACACUUUACACCUUGUCCACGUAGAGGUUUCUCUCUCAGGAAGUGAAGACACAGAAACUGAGUCAGAAAAUAGUUCCCUCUAUUCCUGUGUGAGAUCUUUAAAUCAUAAAGGACUUUCACAUUCCUGUAUCUUUUGCAUCUUGGUGAUUUCACUUUUUCAGAGAGAAUUUUCUUCCAGUCCUGGACUCUGGUUUGCAGCAAACAUCUGGAGCUGCCAUAGGCCUGGAUUGUCCUCCUGCUCUCCUGGGACUGAAAUUCCUGAGGGUGUAAGGGAUUCACUGGUGUAGGGAAACGUAUGUGUGAGUGGGGAAAGUUCUCUCUUUUUACAGAUUUUGAGGACUGGUCUGAGAUCCAGGGAACGACCUGUUCUUGCAUCGGGGGCCUCAGGGAUGCCCAUGUGGCAGUGCUUGAGCUCACCAAGAUUAGGGUGUCCGCCCUCAUCCUGGGGAUUCGGUUUACUCUGUGCCGUUACUUAUGUGAGAGUUUCCAUGAAAUGCUUAGCGGAAAGAUCUAGAGCCCCUUUAUCUUGGCUGAUGUUAUUCUUUAUAGAGAGACUUAAAUAUACAGAAGGGGGGGUGUGCUGUAUGACACCUGCAACAAGACAGCCCUGUGGCUGCAGGGCAUCUUAGGUACCAGGGUGCUUCCAGAAGAGCAGUGUAGACAUACAGAGCGAAGAGUGUCCCACGUCUGCCAGCUGGACAGCUGGUGGGUUGGCAGAAGGGAAGGUACGAGAGAAAGGCAGAAGCGGACUAGUUGCCAUAGGCCAGGGAGAACAACAAGGUGAAGAAAAGUGGAGAAAGUAGUGUUUGUAACUUGGGGGAACUCUGAGAGCCCGUAAAGCCAAUUUCAUGCAAAAAAUAAAAUUCAUGAUCUUUAGACAUUAGACAAGGGGUGAACUUUUGAGAGGCGGUAGGGGAACAGCCAGGCUCGUGUAAAGAUCUGGAGAGAAAGGGUGGUUGAGGGUUCAGCCAAAUCCUUGCCCUGCAUUUUGAAAGAAAAUUCUCUCUGAAAAAGUGAAAGGGAGGGAGGAACACGGGGUAGCAGCUCCAAAGGUGAUCCAGGAAUUUGUAAAUUAUGAAGGAGGCAGAGAGACAGAUAUUUGUUAAAUGAUGAAGCGAAAAGUGUACUUUGCAAGUUUUUUUUUUUUUAAUAGCUGAUAAACAUGUGGAUCAGCAGCUUCCCAUGGGAAAAUGGAGACAUUCAAAAUGAUUCCUGAUGGAACAGGAAAGGGGUGUCUGUGCACUAUGCUGCACCCGCUCCUUCAGGGGCGACCCACUAGAACGGGCUCCAUGCUUUCCUUCCUGCUCUAAACAGAAAGGAGUUUUCCUGGAUGGGGGAAUCUGAAUGUAUUGAAAACAGUGGGCAACGAGAGCAGUGUUCUGUAUUUGAGCUUGACCCCCUGGGAGGGAGGAUCUGGUCCAGAGAGAAGGCAGUGCAGGGCUGCAGCUGCCGGGGAGUGUUGCCUCCCAGCCACGCAUGGGGCCACAGACAUCCAUCACCCCAAGAGGCACCCAGGUAGGAACUCUCCACCCCUUCAGAGACACCCAAGUCAUGGCCUUUAAAACAAGCUCUUCUUGGAGGUGAGUUAGUUGAGCGUCUCAUUUUUGAUUUCAGCUCAGUUCAUGAUCCCAGGGUUGUGGGAUCAAGUCCCACAUUGGGCUCUGUGCAGAGCGUAGAACCUGCAUGAGGAGUCUCUCUCUCUCUCUCUCUCUCUCCCUCCCUCCCUCCCUCUCCCUCUCUCCCUCUCCCUCCCUCCCUCUGACCCUCUCCCUGCUUGCACUCUCUCCCUAAAAAAAAGAAGAAAAAAAAAAAAAGAAAACAAGCCCCUCUUCUCCCUGUUUUUGUUUAUCACCUAUUUCUGGAAACCGGCCUUGGGAUCUCAUGGCCCGGCAGCACAGCUGCUUUGGAAAACGUUGUUGGAGUAGGCUCCUCCCUAAACAGACUCCCCUGGCUUCGAGAAUAUGAACUGAACUGGGGUCGGCCAGACAGGUGUAUCCUUAUGUUCAUAACCAGAAGUGGCUACAACCAAACUGUUACAUUUUGUCUAACUUGUGCCCUGCUGGGCAACUCUGUAGACCAUGGAAUGCUGUUGGCAAAACUCGUUGCCGCCCAGAACUCUGCCUAAAGUUGAGCUUGAGCCUUUGUUUUUUUCUGUUGUAACUUGGAGGAAUUUAAAGCUGUAUUCUAAGUUCCCGGAUGUCUUUUUUCUCCCUCUAUGUCUAUGUCAGGCAGAAAUAAGUAAGGUCUUGUGUAUGAACCAACAGAUUUCCAGAGAUUUUGACCAUAGGGAAGCUGGGGAGAAAGCUGAGGGGCAAUGACAAGUAGGAUUUUGUGCCUUGCCUCCCUUUGGCCUCACUGAGACGAUCAUGGUUGUUGCAGAAACCCACACCCACGGACAGCCCUUUGACCCAUUUCCACCCACAUAGAAGGGAAUCCAGAGAACUUUCCUGCCUUCUGGACGUGAAGAGAACAGCUGAGUUGAAAUGCCCUUCUGUGGAUUGCUGAAAAAAAGGAAAACAGCUGAAAGAUGGAAGUUCUGUUCCCUUUUUGGAAACAUGCAGUUGUGUUGCCUCGUUGGAGAAGCCCAGUCGACGCGGGGAGGGCUUGCAGACACAGGCGGAAGCCAGCGGGGAGAGGAUGCGGAGGUGGCCCGGGGAAGCCCCUGCAGUGGCCAGCCUGGCCCGCCUGCCAGCUCGGUGGACACAGGAGCCGAGUGUGAGAAGCAGGCAGAAGCUGAGGCCGAGCCGGGCACGGCUUUCUAGAUUAGCUCUCUGCAGCUUCCCUGUUUGGAUUGGCCCGAAGCUGGCACAGGAGGCCCAGCCAGCUUUCCGAGGGGAAGCCGGUCUGCCAGCCAGGCGGGGACGGUGCCUCCCGGCGCCUCUGCCCUCCUACCUUGCCCAGGUUGCGGCAGCUCGUGCAUAAAUGGGGCAGCGCGUCCACGUCUCUCCUUCCCUCUGCACAAAUUGGAAAUGACUAACCUUGCCAUAUUUAGUGCAGCGCUAACGGCCACUCGCCUCUGAGGGGUAAUCAUGCAGGCAUAAAUUCGGAAAGUUGCUAAGCUAUGAGCAGUCUUAUGAGCAUUAAAAGUGUCCUCUUUGCCAGAAAGGUCAUUCAUAACUUGGCUACCCUGCUGAUGUACAGUCAGUGAUAUUGAUUGAUUAAUGUAUGAAAGCACUGGAUCCAUUUGCUUCUAUGAAAGAGAAUAAAGUGCAGUCGACUCUCUCUUUAUUUUCACCUCAUCCUUUUGUUUGAAGGACAUUUUUCCCCUUCUUUUUGUUUUGCCGGCUAGGUUUAAGGGGGUUACAAAAAGCCAGUUUCUGCCAAGUAAUGUGUUCACAAAGAGAACAUUGAUUCACAUCAGUGUCGCUUGAAUUACCCUUAAAGGUUUGCCAAGGAGUUGCUCUUAUAUUAACCUUCUGUUCGUGGAGGAAGAAAUAAAUAAAUAAGUCAUAAAGUCAAA